CGUAGGGUGCGAGCGUUUGUCCGGAAUUAUUGGGCGUAAAGAGCUUGUAGGCGGUUUGUCGCGUCUGCUGUGAAAAUCCGGGGCUCAACCCCGGACUUGCAGUGGGUACGGGCAGACUAGAGUGUGAUAGGGGAGACUGGAAUUCCUGGUGUAGCGGUGAAAUGCGCAGAUAUCAGGAGGAACACCGAUGGCGAAGGCAGGUCUCUGGGCCACUACUGACGCUGAGAAGCGAAAGCAUGGGGAGCGAACAGGAUUAGAUACCCUGGUAGUCCAUGCCGUAAACGUUGGGAACUAGGUGUGGGUCUCAUUCCACGAGAUCCGUGCCGCAGCUAACGCAUUAAGUUCCCCGCCUGGGGAGUACGGCCGCAAGGCUA
rnacentral:rRNA from 1 species